rfam:Triticum urartu cultivar G1812 contig895541, whole genome shotgun sequence.
CUUAUACUUCCUCUGUCUGAAAAAUCUUGUCUCAAGCUUGUCCCUUAAAUGGAUGUAUCUAGCACUAACUUGGUGCUAGAUACAUCCAUUUGAAGGACAAGCUUUUUCGGACGGAGGGAGUACUAC